CUCAGCCCAACGCAAAAUGGUUCCUGCAACACCCAGUAAACCAUGGGCGAAUGUUUUAUUGACCUGUGAGAGUUUGGCGCUCAUAGAAUCGGCUAAAUUAGGGCUCCAGAGACGAGUGAAGCGGACGAUCGUCUCUUUCGGGUGCUGCCACAAACCGGAAACGCAGCAGCGAUGGUCGGUCACCAGGAGGAGGGGUCUCGAUCACCAGAGACGUGUGCUUAGGUGUGGCUCCACCUGCCGAAAGGAAAGAGCGGCUCGUUCGCCUAAAGGGGACGAGAAAGGAAGCUGCGAGUCCGCUUGGGUCGUCAGAC
rnacentral:lncRNA from 1 species